GAUGAACGCUGGCGGCGUGCCUAAUACAUGCAAGUCGAGCGAACGGACGAGAAGCUUGCUUCUCUGAUGUUAGCGGCGGACGGGUGAGUAACACGUGGAUAACCUACCUAUAAGACUGGGAUAACUUCGGGAAACCGUAUCUAACACCGGAGAAUAUUUUGAACCGCAUGGUUCAAAAGUGAAAGACGGUCUUGCUGUCACUUAUAGAUGGUUUCGCGUUGCAUUAGCUAGUUGGUAAGGUAACGGCUUACCAAGGCAACGAUGCAGAGCCGACCUGAGAGGGUGAUCGGCCACACUGGAACUGAGACACGGUCCAGACUCCUACGGGAGGCAGCAGUAGGGAAUCUUCGGCAAUGGGCGAAAGCCUGACGGAGCAACGCCGCGUGAGUGAUGAAGGUCUUCGGAUCGUAAAACCCUGUUAUUAGGGAAGAACAUAUGUGUAAGUAACUGUGCACAUCUUGACGGUACCUAAACAGAAAGCCACGGCUAACUACGUG
rnacentral:rRNA from 1 species